GGGAUACUGAUAACUUCAAAACGAGGUUCGUCGACAGAGUAAGUGUCUUCUGCUAUGCAUAUAUCAUCCACCAUGCGACACAGUUGGUGCCUCAAUUAAGCAAUAACUGCUUAACCAUUUAACGACCUAUUCACUACUGUGUUUUGUCUUUUUUGUAUUAGAAGUUUUCUUUUUAAUUUUCAUGUUUUGUAUAUCUUUCCUUCUGUCUUACAUUUUGCAUUUGUAUGUAGGGUUUAACUACACUUUGACAUUUUAAAAUAUUUUUUUCCAGCAAGGGGGUAUACUACUAUAGGCGAUGUUAGAAAAAACUUACUCACUGUG
rnacentral:lncRNA from 1 species